AUUGAACGCUGGCGGCAGGCCUAACACAUGCAAGUCGAGCGAGAGGCGGACGGGUUAGUAAUGUAUGGGGACUGCCCGAUGGAGGGGGAUAACUACUGGAAACGGUGGCUAAUACCGCAUACUAUCGGAUAACCCAUAUGGGAUUAGCGAGUAGGAGGGGUAAAGGCUACCCUAGGCGACUAUCUAUAGCUGGUCUGAGAGGAUGAACAGCCAAACGGGAACUGAGACACGGCCCAGACUCCUACGGAGGCAGCAGUGGGGAAUAUUGCACAAUGGGCGCAAGCCUGAUGCAGCCAUGCCGCGUGUAUGAAGAAGGCCUUCGGGUUGUAAAGUACUUUCAGCGGGGAGGCGUUACCCGCAGAAGAAGCACCGGCUAACUCCGUGCCAGCAGCCGCGGUAAUUC
rnacentral:rRNA from 1 species